rnacentral:ncRNA from 1 species
AUGAUAGAGGUGCGUUUUCCAUCAGUAGCGUGCGCGUGAGGCCGGCGGCGGCCGUAAGGAACGGGCGUGAAAGGGGCAAACGCCGAAGGCAGGGCGGGGCCGUGCAGCGCUGUGCCUGGACGUAUGGUUAAGAGCCAUAGGUCUGUCACCGUAUAUGGUGGAGCGCUAUCUGU